GUGUCAACAUAGUAACAAAAAAAUAAAACAUCUGCACGUUGAAGCGCUGGAAGUUCCUUCUGAUGACUGUUCCGCUUGACCUGUGAGUUCCAAGGAGGUGAGACGGUGUGGUUUGUUGUCUUCCUCAAACGGUGAUGCUGGUGUAUGCGCAAGGGUUAUGUGGCAAUAGCUCAUUAUAUGUAUGUCCAUACAUGCUUUAUCUGGUGCAAGUUCUACCAUGUGCAACAACUUCCAGAAACUCAGAACCCAAUAACACGAAGCUUAUUUCACUCAAGACAGCAUAAAUUCAGUGCGUCGUGGAGACCCAUCAGAAUAGAUGGAGCCUUGAAGGUAGGUCAGAAAAAGGGGAGCUCACUUGUGGAUUUGGAAGAUGGUGCGCAGACUCGCAAAAAAGUUCAAUUAGGUACUCCUGCUACUCGAUCGAUCUCAAUCUAUAGUUCCAGGUCACCGAUGAAACAGAGGAGUGGAUUUUGGAGCAGUGGGACAAGAAUUAUUACAUCACUUCACUUGCUGGUGCAUCAAAUGGCAGUGCCUUGGUGGUUUAUGUCCAAGGGGAAAACUCGGAGGUGGAUUUGUUUUCAAUUUUAGUUUUAUCAUUGGUGCUAGAGAGAAGGAAAAUCCUUCGAGCCGGCUAACCCACGAAGUUAUAUUUUAAGACAGUAUUACUAAGAUUUUGGCUCACCCUUUAUCCCAAUAACCAUUUUCACCCUCUACCAAGGCAGUAGCUUGGGAGGAUUAGAGCGAGAGUUUCAUUUUGUUGUUGUAAUUAUUUUGUACAAGCCUAGGGCUUUACCUAUAUUGGAUUUAAAUCCAUUUUGAUGUAACCAAGUACAGUCUUAGGAAGUUGUAGCCUUCAGGGCAUUUAAAUUAAGUGUUUAACUUCUAUUUCAUAUCUUUGUUGUUGACACAUACUAUAUAUUCAGGGUUAGGACUUAUGAAUGUAUAUUCGUAUGUGUCACCCUUUUGCACAACUAAUUCUUACAUAAUGGAAGGCUAUUAUACUCUUAUUUAUAUUGCUAUUUACGUUUUGUCGUGGGUGGUUUAUUGUAUUUAUUUCAGGGUGUUACAACUUGGUAUCAGAGCAUACUGGUUUGAAUACUUGGGUACGUGGGAAGUGGUUCUUACCAUAAUGGAUUUAUCUCGCUUGAUAGAGAUGUAUGUAUGUAUAAUAUGUUGUGUGAUAACAUGCUUAUGUGACUAAGUGGGUAUGAAAUUUGUUUUCUAAGAUGGUUUACAAGUUUCUGGAAUUCCUGUUAGAAGAGUACUUGAUCACUGCUAUUUCUAAUUGGAGCUUUGGCAAUGUCACGGGAUGAUCAUCAUCUAGAAAGGAAGUUCGUACGUGUUUACGUGAUUAUGUGUUUUUGUGGAGUGAAUUACUAUUGUCCAUCGCUUUAGGACACGAGUGAGUUAGCUUCGGCAUAUUUGUAAAUAUGCUAAUCUCCUGUGUUAUGUCAGGACGUGGUCGUGGAUAUGGUAGGCGCGAUAGGCCUAGGCAGUAGGAAGCGCCUUUAUCCAAUGAAAUUCCGACGCAAGAGAAAGAAGUUGAUCAGGUUAAUAUGGUCGAGCCAGCAGGUCAGCAGGCUAUAGGUGCCUUGGCCCAAGAGAUGGCCAGAGCUUUACGGGAAUCUAUGGACAUUCUCAAGGUUGAAAAUCAAGUCUAGGCCCAAAUCGUUGAGGUAGGGCCGUCAUUCUUGAAAAUGGAGUUCUUCUGGUCUAAUCUAGACGAGUUUUUGGGUGAUCCAAAAGAGACACUGAAAGUGGAUGAAUGGCUCAAGCAAAUAAUGAAGAGAUUCGAGAUGCUUAGUGUAGACACUCUAUUUUUGACCGUCCUCAUGACUCGGACGUCAUCGUUUGAACACUCGGUGAUCAUUCAUGUUCGUGUUCGUUUCGAGAUCCCGAAGGACUCGGUUGCGCGCCUUGCCUUAGGAUCUCUCGACUUGACUGUUUUGUGCUUGGUUGUGGACCAAGGACUUGUAGUUUUUGCACCUGAGGGUAGGAAGUGGCUUGUUAGCCAUCCCUCAAACCCACUGGUCGUGGCACAAAGCCACCAGCCUUGCUUUAUUUCUACCGACCAAAUAUUUGGUCGGUCGGCAUGGAUAUCUGGUCGAUCGGCCAUUUAUUU